UAGGGAAUCUUCCACAAUGGACGCAAGUCUGAUGGAGCAACGCCGCGUGAGUGAAGAAGGUUUUCGGACCGUAAAGCUCUGUUGUUGGUGAAGAAGGAUAGAGGUAGUAACUGGCCUUUAUUUGACGGUAAUCAACCAGAAAGUCACGGCUAACUACGUGCCAGCAGCCGCGGUAAUACGUAGGUGGCAAGCGUUGUCCGGAUUUAUUGGGCGUAAAGCGAGCGCAGGCGGAAGAAUAAGUCUGAUGUGAAAGCCCUCGGCUUAACCGAGGAAUUGCAUCGGAAACUGUUUUCUUGAGUGCAGA
rnacentral:rRNA from 1 species